AUGAUGUUAGACAGAUUAUCUAUGAUUUUCUGCGCUAAUGUCUUGGCUGCUCUGGCUUAUGAUCACAUCUGUCAGCAGAUUAAAGCAAUCAGUGUGUUUCACUUGCGCAUGAAUCAUGAGAGUAUUAUGGCUAUAAAAUACCAAGGCACCAAAGCUGAAGUGGUGCUCUGCUCACCAAAGUCUGACCCGGACCAAAAGAAGUACCUAUGUAUCCCAAUUAAUGGGCUAGGUAUUAAUUACUGCAGAAUCGGCUUGACACUAAUUACUGCAAAAGCCGUGCUACUGGAGUACUGGUACUGA
rnacentral:rRNA from 1 species